rnacentral:lncRNA from 1 species
UUUAUUUUUAAAUUUGUUUUUCUAUCACUAUACUAAUACUAGUUGCUAUAAAGAAUCAUGGGGAGAUUUUUUAGCUAUCUUGUUGUAUGGUUGCCAUUGACAAACUGUUUGUUCUAUCAAAAGCAACUUUAACACUGUUUAUUUAUUAAUAUAGCAUACUAUAUUUUGUAUUUUUUUUUGAACAAGAACUAAAGCAGUCACUUUGACUGGAAAACUUUCUUUAUAUUCCAAAGUUUUAUUUAAUUCUUUACAUACUAAUUUUCUUUUCUGCCAUAUUGAUUUUUUGCCAAUUUUAAUAGCAAAUGAGAAAUAUAAUGAAGUUACCAUUAUUUUUGGGACCAUCAUCCUUCUAACAGGUUUUAUGUCUAUCUAUUUGUUUCUAGUAAAUAUGUAAGAGUUAAAAAUAGAGUCAAGAUUUUAUGAAACAUUCAAAAAGCAUUUGCUGUUUUUUCGCUCAAAUGGAAGAGACAAUGCUACCAAAAAUUUAACAAAGAGCUUUUGCUUUCUUUUGAUGCAGUUCUCAUAACCAUCCAAAGUUGUCUAUUUAUAAAUUUUUUUAAAGACUGAUAUAUUUAUACCCUUACUGCAAUAGUAGGAGGUAUUAUUUUUGUCUGUGAGUUCGUUCAUCUCAGGUUAAAGUAUGUAUUUUUUUUUAUAUGACCGCAAAAAUUGCCCCAACUGUUUGACCUCUGGGGUUGUAUCUGGCUGCUCUCAGCGAAGCAUUUUAAUGAUAGUUUACCAUGGCCAUGAAGUUGUGGUCACAUCAAUCAAAAAUAUUAUGCACAUAGUCUAUAUGCUGUGAACUUUUUACAAAAUAAAUGCCAAAAUAGGAUUUUGACCUAAAUUUUGUGGUUCAUUGUGUGAAUGAGGCAUGGAGUCCCAAAGACGCAUAAUAUUUUUUAUCAAAACUUCUGUAUUUAGUUAUAAGCAAUGCAAUCUUGGAGCAAACAAUUUUUCAAGAUGUCUUAAACUAAAAUAUGAAUCAAACUUGUUGCUCGUACAGUUGUUUUUCUAUUACAAAAGAGCAAAGUUUAUAAUUUUGUAAAAUUUUUCAAUAUUACUUUAGGAUAGUUUGCACUGACAUGACCAAACUAUAUAAUCCAAUUCAUUCACAAUAAGAAAAGAUAUAAUUUUUGAAAGAGUUUUUUUUGCUUUUGCACUUAUUGAUUUUAAAAAACCAGAAGGUCAUCAUGCAUGGUCAAAAUAUAGUAAUUUUAUUUUUUCAUGUAGGAUUGUCAUAAUAUAUACCCACUCACUAUGUUUAAUAAAAUUUUAUGGAGCCAUUAUCAUUUUUGGGUAUCUCACAAAGGGAUAUUACACCAUAUCUUUUAUAAUUAUGAAAAAAUGAAAUUUAAAAUGUCAAUUAUCAAAAAGCUUCAAAAUUAUUUAAUGUAAGAUGAUUAAUUUUCUAUAAGAUACAUGCAAACACCUAUCAAAAGGGGAGAUAAUAAUGCAUUUGAAUAUUUUAUGACUUUCACAUUAAGUUGCUCAUAGAAGUAAAAAGAAAUUAAUAUAUUUUUUUAAAGAAUAAAUCAAGUUUGAACAGAAUGAGCUAUUUGUGAUUUUUGUUUAAAUCAUUUAUAAUUAACUAGAGCUUUAUAAUCAAAUUUUAUAUAAUAACUGUGCCAAGAAUUCAAUAUAUAUAUACUAGAAUGAAUAAGUGACUCAAAAUUUCAUUUAUUUCUUUUUGUGUGUGUGUGUGUGCCAUUUUUUUUUAUUGAAAGGGAGGAAAUGCAUUUUCAGGAAUGCUUGAUUUCAUAGUUUCACCAAACAAGUCUAUAUGAUAUUUGUAUUCAAUUGAAGACUAGUGACUGUUAUUUAAGUGAAGUCUGAAAUGAUGCUUUACAUUUAAAAUGUCAAAAAUAAAUCCCAUUUACCAAAGCGAAAUGUCUUUUAGAAUUAUUAUCAAUAUAUGAUACAUGUUAUUGUUGUUCCCAAGAAAUGAAAAGCUAAAUAACAGUAUCCAUUGCCAUUCAAGAGUAAUUCAAAAUAACUUUCACAUUACUUGGAGUCAGGUGAAUUAAAAAAAAAUCUGGAAUUUAAAAUUGAUACUUUAAGUCAAAAGGUCAUUAGUUGAUAAUUAAAGAUAUUGAUAGGACUGCUGUUACGGAACUCCUUUUCAAGAAAUUUUAUUUUAAAAAAAUGGCCAGAACAGACUGACUCAUACUUUAUAUUUAGCAUUGACAUAAUUUUGGUCUCAAAUUGUAAAAAAGAAAAUCUGGCAUCUGCCUAAAUUUUGGUAAGGACCUUUUAUGAGCUAUCUUCAAUGAAAAGAAAAGUGGGUGAUGGGGCAAACCCUGUAUCAUUGGAAAAAAACCAAGGAGUCUGAAUUUCUGACAAAAGAUGUUCUUGUCAUUUACAUCUGAUUGGCUAAUUGUAAUACAUUUUUGUAACAGAUCAUGAUUUUAACUGGAUUUUACCUAAAAUUAUCCACAUAAUUUAAAGAAAUGAAACUGAACUUAAAAUGAUCUUUAAUAUUAUUCAAGUAUUUAUUCUGUAAACUGAAAUAAGUAGUACUAAGUUGUUUAUUAGAUUAUGAAAUUUCUUCUUAAGGUGGUACCCAACACCUUCACUAAAAUUAAUUUGGCUCGUUUAAUUUUCAUAAAAAUUUAAACAAUGUAUUUACUUUGACCCUUUGACAAAAAUAUAAAAAAUUCAAAAAAUUUGAACCAACCAUGUUAUCAGAAAAAUUACACUGGUUAUAUAGUGGUUUUUCUCUAAGCACUCCUCCACCAAUAAAAACUGGCCUUAGCAAAAAGGCCCAAAAUAGAUGCUUAAAAGUAGCAUUAAAAACACAGAAAUCAAAUUAAAUCUUAAUGUUAAUUACGAUUAAUGCAGUUGUUUUUAUGCAAUUUUGUGUUUUUUAAAAGGCAAAAACUAGAGAAAACAUUGCUAUGCACUGCACUGCCCACCAUAUCCUAAGUUGUAAUGUUAAACAUUGAAAUUAAUAUCCAUAGUGAAAGGGAUGUUCCAGAAAAUUGUUGAGGGGGUGUUUAAAGGCACUUAAUUAUUUCUUUACCCCACCAAUGAAUUUUAUUUAUACGUUUCCGAUUUACAAUUUUCUGAUCAAAAUUAGAAAUUAAAAUUAAAGUGCCUUCAUAAACCCUCCAAAGAUAAUUAUUUUUGGAAUAGCCCUAACUUAUUUGCUAGAUGUUGUGAAAAUCUAAUUUAUAUGAUUUUGUUUAUGCACAUUUAUUUUAUAUAAGCAUUUAUUAUCCAAAAUGAUUUACUAAAUGUGACCAUUGUUGUCAUAUUUUUUGUUUUGUGCCCACCAGUCAAUGUGUUGUAAUGUAUCUAGUGCUUUCUAUGUUGAACAUUUUAUAUCUGUAUUUUGUAUGUUAGUUCUUUCUAGAACACAUUGUUUUAGAAUAAAUUUAUUCUCAGCUAGUUAUAUUUCUUUUACUUUGCCUUUAUUUAUUUUUACAGACAUCUAUAUCAUACAUAAAUUUGUUCAGUUUCAAUGUGGUGCUUAGGACUUUUUU